AUUGAACGCUGGCGGCAGGCUUAACACAUGCAAGUCGAGCGGAGAGAGGUAGCUUGCUACUGAUCUUAGCGGCGGACGGGUGAGUAAUGCUUAGGAAUCUGCCUAUUAGUGGGGGACAACAUUUCGAAAGGAAUGCUAAUACCGCAUACGUCCUACGGGAGAAAGCAGGGGAUCUUCGGACCUUGCGCUAAUAGAUGAGCCUAAGUCGGAUUAGCUAGUUGGUGGGGUAAAGGCCUACCAAGGCGACGAUCUGUAGCGGGUCUGAGAGGAUGAUCCGCCACACUGGGACUGAGACACGGCCCAGACUCCUACGGGAGGCAGCAGUGGGGAAUAUUGGACAAUGGGCGCAAGCCUGAUCCAGCCAUGCCGCGUGUGUGAAGAAGGCCUUAUGGUUGUAAAGCACUUUAAGCGAGGAGGAGGCUACUUUAGUUAAUACCGAGAGAUAGUGGACGUUACUCGCAGAAUAAGCACCGGCUAACUCUGUG
rnacentral:rRNA from 1 species